rnacentral:rRNA from 1 species
CCUACGGGGUGCAGCAGUGAGGAAUAUUGGUCAAUGGCCGGAAGGCUGAACCAGCCAUGCCGCGUGAAGGUCAGUGCCCUAUGGGCGUUAAACUUCUUUUGUGCGGGAGCAAUAAUGGUCACGUGUGGCCAGACGAGAGUACCGUACGAAUAAGCAUCGGCUAACUCCGUUCCAGCAGCCGCGGUAAUACGGGGGAUGCAAGCGUUAUCCGGAUUUAUUGGGUUUAAAGGGUGCGUAGGCUGUGAGGUAAGUCAGCGGUGAAAUGCCCCCGCUCAACGGGGUGAAGUGCCAUUGAUACUGCCUGGCUGGAAUGCGGAUGCCGUGGGAGGAAUGUGUGGUGUAGCGGUGAAAUGCAUAGAUAUCACACAGAACACCGAUUGCGAAGGCAUCUCACGAAGCCGCGAUUGACGCUGAUGCACGAAAGCGUGGGUAUCAAACAGGAUUAGAUACCCUUGUAGUC